rnacentral:rRNA from 1 species
UUAAGAAUCUUGCUCAAUGGGGGAAACCCUGAAGCAGCGACGCCGCGUGAACGACGAAGGUCUUCGGAUUGUAAAGUUCAAUAAGGAGGGAAAAAUAAGCGCAAGCGAUGAUUGUACCUCCCUAAAGCACCGGCUAACUACGUGCCAGCAGCCGCGGUAAUACGUAUGGUGCAAGCGUUGUUCGGAAUUAUUGGGCGUAAAGGGUAUGUAGGUGGAAUUGUAAGUCAGGUGUGAAAACUACGAGCUCAACUCGUAGCCUGCACUUGAUACUGUGAUUCUAGAGUUUGGGAGAGGCAAGCGGAAUUCCUGGUGUAGCGGUGAAAUGCGUAGAUAUCAGGAGGAACACCGGUGGCGAAAGCGGCUUGCUGGCCUAAAACUGACGCUGAGAUACGAAAGUGUG